rnacentral:rRNA from 1 species
GACGAACGCUGGCGGCGUGCCUAACACAUGCAAGUCGAGCGGGGAAUAUUGAGUAGCUUGCUACUUGGUAUUUCUAGCGGCGGACGGGUGAGUAACGCGUGAGCAACCUGCCUUUAUCAGGGGGAUAACGCAUCGAAAGAUGUGCUAAUACCGCGUAAGACCACAGCUUCACAUGGAGCAGAGGUCAAAGGAGCAAUCCGGAUAAAGAUGGGCUCGCGUCCGAUUAGCUAGUUGGUGAGAUAACAGCCCACCAAGGCGAAGAUCGGUAGCCGACCUGAGAGGGGGGUCGGCAACAUUGGAACUGGGACACGGCCCAGACGCCUACGGGAGGCAGCAGUGGGGAAUCUUGCAAAAUGGGCGAAAGCCUGAUGCAGCGACGCCGCGUGCGGGAUGAAGGCCUUCGGGUUGUAAACCGCUUUCAGCAGGGACGAGGCCGCAAGGUGACGGUACCUGCAGAAGAAGCCCCGGCUAACUACGUGCCAGCAGCCGCCGUAA